rnacentral:lncRNA from 1 species
AUUGAUUUGUGACACGGUACGUUGUCUUGAUGAAAUUGCACUUUCUUUUUCUUCAAAUGGGGCCGUUUUUUUCGCGAUUUCGUCCUUCAAACGAUCCAAUAACGCAAUGCAAUAUUCGCUGUUAAUGGUUUUCCCUUUUCAAGAGCAAGAGUUUCAAACACUUCUCAGAAUCAUCAAUUCGUUGUUUUUGAUCUGUUGUGAGCUUUCGCGGCACCCACUUUGCACGGAGCUGUCGCAUACCCAUAUAUUCAUGCACAAUAUAUCCAACAAGUUCCUUUGAUAUCUAUAGAGUCUCAGCUAUCUCGAACAACUUCACGUUACGGUCAUCCAAAAUUUGUGGAUUUUUUGAUGUUUUCGUCGGUAACAGCCUCUUUGGAGCGUCCACUGCGAGCAUCGUUCUCGGUGCUCAUUUCGCCUCGUUUAAACUUAGCAAGCCAUUUCUCAACGGUUGAUUUUCCUGGUGCAGAGUCCAAUGUUUAUCAAAGCAAGCUUUGGCUUUGACAGUAUUUUUUUCGCCAAAAAUCAAUGCUGCAGGUAAUUCCUUUUUAUCAAUUUUUUUAGCUAACAAGUUGUUUCAGUGAAAAUGCUGUGUUUUUUAAACUAAUGUAGGAUUCGUUAAAGACAAUCGUAAUAAAAGUCCGUGUGAUGUUUAACAGUUUUAAUUAAUAAAAUAGAUACCAUUAAAUUGACUAAAUGUAAAAGUGUUUGUGUAAUUGCGACUAAAAUUUUACGAGUUCUCACAAAAGAAAAUGUAUUUGAAAUAAUCGCGUUUAUCUACUUAAUAUAUGACCGGCUUGUCAAUAUAUUAGUACAUCUUAAACUUCGCGUCUUUUCGAUUAUCGCCAAAUACAGCCUCUUUCAUUCGAAUCUAAAAAUCGACUCACUCUGGCACCCCUACGCUAAAACAAAUUCUCUUACAUCUAAUCUCCCUUUUCCGUUUUCCCCUGAGAACCAACCUAUUAAAAUUGGAUCAAAGUAUGUACCGACUUUUUCCAAUAAACGGAAACCAAUAAAAUUAGUCAAGGCGGCUACUGUUUAUCUUAAACUCCGAUUCCAAACGAUUCGCACAUGUGGCAUAUGUGUUCGUAUACGUGAGACCCUUUUUUCGUGCUCGUAAUAAUAAUCAAGAAAAAAAAAUACAGUAGACUUAAAAAUAUAAGGUAAAAUAUUUACAAUUCUACACUGAUAGUUCGACAACUGUCAAAUUUAUACACGGAUCAUUUGAAGGUAGGGCUAACUAAAAAUUAGGAUUUAAUACCAGUAGUGCCAUCUAUGUGUCAUCUACAACCUUUUCAUCCCACCUGUUAGUUGUAGCUUUUUUUCUCUAUUGUAUUGUCGGGUAGAUAUUAUGACUUUACUUUAGCCAUUUUAAAAAUCAUGGAUAGGUCAUUCGUCUUGCUUCAUACAUCAAAAUUUAGUGGAAACAAAGACAUUUUUGCUUUAUGACAUCGUGUUGAUACAUAUUUCGCCUUCAGUUGUAAAGAUUUUAUAUGAAUUUUGCAAAAUUGGUGGAGAGCCAAAGUAGACAAAUUUGAAGGUAUGUGCGUAAAAAAUAGUCGUCAUCUUAGUACAAAUUGGAACAAAUUAAUAAGACUAGAAACUGAUUACAGUAGAGCGUCGAUUAUCCGAACUAAUUGGGAGACAUGGGUGUUCGGAAAACCGAUUUGUUCGGAUAAUCGAACUAGAUUGAUAUAGUCAUACAUUUUUAUCCGCAAGUGAAUAAAAGCCAUAUUUAUAUACCUACAUAUUUAUUUAUAUCUUGAUAAUGACAAAUAGCAAUUAAACAAAAAAGUGCAGUCUUUGCAACAACAUAUUUUUGGAUACAAUAUUGAAGAAAAUUGAAGAUAUUUUAAGCGUUAAUUACUAACGCUUGCUCGGUACUCGAGUGCGGGGCGCGGGAGUCGAGAGUUCGGAUAACUGGUCGUUCGGUUGAUCGACGUUCGGAUAAUCGACGCUCUACUGUAUAUAUUUGCAUCAACUUGUAUAUAUCCAUGUACAUUAUUUCAUUUAUAAGGUUAAUCUUGUUUGAGUGCCACAUUCGUGUUUUAAAUAGCACCCAAACGAAAAUCAAGUCUUCACAAAUCUGCUGAAAAUUCGAGUAUAUGAAAUUAAACAUAACUAUACUAAAAUCACAAUAAAGUUGCACUAGAAAUAAACAGACCAAGACACGUGGAAUGUCCCAAAUCAUGAUUUACAAAGUUUACACAUUGUAAAACAUGAUUCGGCAGUGUUCCUCUUAACAUUAAACGUGUCUUGGUUUGUUUAUUUCUAGUGCAUCUUUAUCGUGAUUUUGCUAUAGGUAAUAAAAUUAAAGAUCUAUAAUGUAUAUUCAAGUUGAAAAUACAAUUAUUUUUAAUUUUCUAUAGUGUGUCAUAAAAGAAAGUAAUUUGUAAAUAGACCAAAUAUUUUUGAUUGGGUCUUUUAUACAGUUCUUGUAAACUGCAAAUAAAAGUAACAUGGAUUUUACAAAAUGAGAGGUGUUUGUAACCCUAGCCUCACGUAACUAUAUAUGUAUAAAAAAAGAUAAUGUACUUGAAUUUUAAGUUAGUCUGUGUUCUAACAGGCUAUUUUUAAGCGAUCAGAACAAGUUUGAGUUAAAAAAGCCUAAAAGUCAUUCAAUGUUUUUAGCUUAUAAAAAAGCAUUGUAGCAAAUAUACACUUAUUUUUCAUACAAACAAUAUCAGGCUAUCCAAAAAGUACGUUGUUUAAUUCUAGUGCAUCAUUUUUGUGAUUUUGGCAUAGGUAGAAUAGUAAAUGACAAAUUGAUAAAAAAUCAUAUUGAAAAACGCGAAAUAAGGUAAUAAAAUUAAAGAUCUAUAAUGUAUAUUCAAGUUGAAAAUACAAUUAUUUUUAAUUUUCUAUAGUGUGUCAUAAAAGAAAGUAAUUUGUAAAUAGACCAAAUAUUUUUGAUUGGUUCUUUUAUACAUUUCUUGUAAACUGCAAAUGAAAGUAACAUGAAUUUUACAAAAUGAGAGGUGUUUGUAACCCUAGCCUCACGUAACUAUAUAUGUAUAAAAAAAGAUAAUGUACUUGAAUUUUAAGUUAGUCUGUGUUCUAACAGGCUAUUUUUAAGCGAUCAGAACAAGUUUGAGUUAAAAAAGCCUAAAAGUCAUUCAAUGUUUUUAGCUUAUAAAAAAGCAUUGUAGCAAAUAUACACUUAUUUUUCAUACAAACAAUAUCAGGCUAUCCAAAAAGUACGUUACGUUUUAGAAUAGAAAAAAAAAACAAGUAAAAGAAAAAGAUUUUAUUAUAUAUACAUUUGAAAGAGAUACUCAAAUACUAUUCUUCUACAUACUCUGCCAACAAAUUCAGACACGUAUCAUAGCAGUGAAUUGACCAUUCAUGCUCAAAACAGGUGGUAGUCGCUAGGUGCAAGAUCCGGACUAUACGGCGGAUGAGGAAACACCUCCCACUUGAAUGGAAGAGACAAGUUCAUCAGUCACAAUGCUUAGUCGUCCACUUCGUUCUUCAUCGUGCACAUUGGAUCGGCCAUUUUUGAACUGAAUGCAUCAUUGACGCACUCCACCUUCAGUGAUCACAUUGUUCCCAUAAACAGCACAAAUUUUGCGAUAAAUUUCAAUUGGUUUGUUUGCAUCCAACAAGAACCGACACACAUUUCAAACAGCUGUUGUAAAAUAACGAGAAGAGACAGUGACUUCGCGCUAUCACCCCUGGACAGCUACUGAACGGACGAACGCCACGAUGGUAAGAUGGCCGCGCUAGCCCCGCCCCCAGCGGCUACAGAUCAAAACGUAACGAAUUUCUGGAUAACCCUCGUAUCUCUGUGAAUUUUGUGUACAUUCCGUGUAUAUCAAGGAGGUAAAAUGUAUCCUUGUAGAACCCCAUGGUUCCCUGUCAUCCUAUAUGGCCAGUUUCAACAACGACGGGGUCUAUUCGAUGAAUAAAGUUAUUCAACCAAUAAAACUGACACAUCUGCGUUUCACCGACGUCAAUUAAGACUUAUUCUAUGAAUAAACUCAUAAGUUAUAAUAAUAAUUAAAAGAUAUUAGACCUCCAAACGAUAAAAGUUUUAACCCUUAUUGUUAUAAUAUUGUCUUACCUGUAGGGACUGUCUGGCCCUAUAAGAUGUUCCUGCUAAUAAAUAUUUAAAAAAAUUGAGGCUUUAGCAUAAUAUAUAUUUGGAAAUAUUUGAUUGCCCAGAGCAAGACAAGAGUAUUUCCCUGGUGUAAGCUGGGCGAAUUAUCCCGUGGGAUAUAACCCGAUAAAGGAAGAAGAAGUUAUAAAUAACAGCUUAUUUUGACGUUUCAAUUUUCACUUCCGAAAUACGGUAUUUUGAGAACUAACAAAUUUUUCCCAUGUUUAUAUCGAAGACUGUCUGUUUUUUUUUCUCAAUGUGUUUAAAUUUCUCAUUUAUUGAAAUCAGAUUUUGAUUUUCCUUCUCUAAAUAAUGUUUGGUUCUUCCUCGUUUUCUGUCCAUUUUUAGUAAACAAAACAACAUCAUUACACUAUUUAGAACUUAUUCGACGAAUAACUAACUGUAGCGUACAAAUAGUUAUUAAAACGCAAUAAAAUAUAAUCUAUUCACUGACUUAUUGUUGUUGGUGAAACCGGCCGAUAGUCUUUUAUAUACCUAAAAAUGAUAUUUUUAUGAUUGUCAAUUAGAAAGAAUGACUUCCAGACUAUUUUUGUACCUGAAACACCAGUUUUAAUUGUUUUAUUUCUUCGCUGGGUAUUAUUUUAAACAGACAAUUUUUAUUGUGGUUUUGCACUAAUUUGUGACAUCACAGUAUUUUUUAUUUCGUUCCUUUUCUUCGAUUAACAUAAUAAUUUUGUGGGUAGUAGGUGCCUGAGAUAUUUUUAAAGUAUGUAAUUUUGUAUAAUUUUUUUGAAAUUUAUAAGAUAUUAGAUAUAAACUGAUCGCUGAGAUUGCUAAUAUAGUGGAUCAUUAAAGGUUCAUUUAUUUAACACGUUCACUGCCACGCGCCCUUAAAAAUCCAACACUGAUGCUGCCUCAGCAGGCCACAUUGGUUCGAAGAGGUUAACAUUUGCCACGUUUGACUCCCUAUGUUGUCUUGUUUCGAUUUUGUAGAAUUUGUCGAAGAAAAAUGUAGGUUUAAUUGAGUCGCCUCCAUGGCGUGCAUCUAGCAGGGGUAGGGGUAGCGCCUGCACCUCAACCCGCCAGAAACGACAUCUCAAUUGUCACAUUCCUACAUCUAGAUGUACACCCGCUGAACGCAAUCGCAUCAUCGUCAUCAGCGCCAUCUCUUUGACGUAUAUGUCUAAAGGCUAUAAUGAGUAACUCCAUUACAGUAGUUGUAGUUGUUUUCAUGGCACCUGUUAUAUUUAGACAAGCCAUCUGCUGAAUGCAAAUUUAACAGUGUAUGCAUAUAUAUGUUAGACUUAAUAUACUUGUAAGUGUAAGUGAGCACUUUGUUAUAUAUUAUUUCAACUUAAGAUGAGAUCUUAAAAUACCAUAUUUUAGUAUUUUAUUUAAAAUUACCCUGUUCAGUGAUCUGUUAAUACUAAUAUCUCUGACUCGUGUAGUUUUGAGCACAACUGCCCAGGAAACAAUUUUUGCAUAAUUUAUUUUAUUUACCUUACUCACUCUAAGUUUUAGCGAAGUAGUUUUAAGUUAUAAGAAAUGUGUGAUACUUUUAAAUAAAUUAAAGACAACUUU